rnacentral:rRNA from 1 species
AUGGAGCUUACUGACGUGUGCCCUCUCUGUGGUCUCGAGCGCGAGGACACGUUUCAUGUGUUUUGCAGGUGCCCAAGAGCUGUUGAUCUGUGGCAAGCCAUGGCGCAAGUUUGGCGGAUACCUGAUGUUAAAUCAAUCCGCAAUACAGGACCGGAGUGGUUCCUGAAUCUCAUCGCGGAGUGUGACGAGGGUGACCGCCUCAGAGUCCUCAUGCUUAUGUGGAGAUGUUGGCACGUGCGUAACGAGAUCAAACAUGACAAGGCACCGCCACCCAUGGAGGUGUCCCGACGGUUCCUUCAAAGCUACGUCACCUCACUGUUGGGGAUCCAACAAUACCCGGUCGGGGACUGGGACAAAGGAAAGAUGGUCACUCAACUAGAGGGAGCGGAGCAGCCAAUAUCGCAUGUGGGCGUAAGCUGGAAGUCUCAGCGCAAGUGGAGCCCGCCUCCGGAAGGUUGGGCGAAGCUCAACGUGGAUGGGUCAUUCUCACACGAGGAUGGAAGCGCCGGUGACGGCAUGAUCUUGCGCGGGCACGACGGUGCCAUCAUUUUCUCUGCAUGCCGUUCGCUUCGGUCAUGCCCGGACCCAUUGCACGCUGAGUUGGCCGGGUGCACGGAGGGACUCGGCCUAGCUUUGCAGUGGACGGAGUUGCCGAUUAUCCUGGAGUGUGACAGUAUGCAGGCCGUGCAGAUGAUCAAGGCAAAAGGACCGGAUCGUUCCCAGCAUGCGAUGGUGGUCUCAGAAGUAAAGAGUCUUAUGGGUACAAGGGAGUGUUGUGUUACUCACAUCUCUAGAGAGCAAAAUAAUGUUAGUCAUGUGUUAGCAAACUUCGGUCGAACGGAGAACCGUACUGUGGUCUGGCUCCGCUCUGGACCUGCUAAUGUUCCUAGUCUGUGUAGGGAUGAAUUCGUGUGCUCUUGA